rnacentral:rRNA from 1 species
GGCUUACACAUGCAAGUCGAGCGGGGAAAGGUAGCUUGCUACUAGACCUAGCGGCGGACGGGUGAGUAAUACUUAGGAAUCUGCCUAUUAGUGGGGGACAACGUUCCGAAAGGAGCGCUAAUACUGCAUACGCCCUACGGGGGAAAGCAGGGGAUCUUCGGACCUUGCGCUAAUAGAUGAGCCUAAGUCGGAUUAGCUAGUUGGUAGGGUAAAGGCCUACCAAGGCGACGAUCUGUAGCGGGUCUGAGAGGAUGAUCCGCCACACUGGGACUGAGACACGGCCCAGACUCCUACGGGAGGCAGCAGUGGGGAAUAUUGGACAAUGGGGGGAACCCUGAUCCAGCCAUGCCGCGUGUGUGAAGAAGGCCUUUUGGUUGUAAAGCACUUUAAGCGAGGAGGAGGAGCCCUAAGUUAAUACCUUGGGUGCUCGGACGUUACUCGCAGAAUAAGCACCGGCUAACUCUGUGCCAGCAGCCGCGGUAAUACAGAGGGUGCGAGCGUUAAUCGGAUUUACUGGGCGUAAAGCGUGCGUAGGCGGCCACUUAAGUCGGAUGUGAAAUCCCCGAGCUCAACUUGGGAAUUGCAUUCGAUACUGGGUGGCUAGAGUAUGGGAGAGGAAGGUAGAAUUCCAGGUGUAGCGGUGAAAUGCGUAGAGAUCUGGAGGAAUACCGAUGGCGAAGGCAGCCUUCUGGCCUAAUACUGACGCUGAGGUACGAAAGCAUGGGGAGCAAACAGGAUUAGAUACNCUGGUAGUCCAUGCCGUAAACGAUGUCUACUAGCCGUUGGGGCCUUUGAGGCUUUAGUGGCGCAGCUAACGCGAUAAGUAGACCGCCUGGGGAGUACGGUCGCAAGACUAAAACUCAAAUGAAUUGACGGGGGCCCGCACAAGCGGUGGAGCAUGUGGUUUAAUUCGAUGCAACGCGAAGAACCUUACCU